ACCCUUUCCAGGUGAUAGCAGCACGGUUGUUGGAAUCAAAACAGUCUAUACCUCAUUUAUAUUUGUCCACAGGUCUCAAACUUCCUAAGAUUUUUGUACUCAUAGUAUUAUAUAUCUAGCCCUACCCAUCUGAUACUCAUAUUAAAGAUUUCAAUUUAGAUGUCAUACUGGAUCCUCCUCUCUCCUUUAGGAAGGAGCUUAAAACAAAAUAUGGUGUAAAAGUCUCAGUGAAUGACAUCAUCAUCAAAGCUGUUGCUAUUGCAUUGAGAAAUGUACCAGAAGCAAAUGCUUACUGGGAUGCUGCAAAAGCGCGAAAUAAUUUUAAGUGAUUCAGUUGACAUAUCUAUUGCAGUUGCUACUGGGAAGGUAUUUCAAAAACAAUC